AAAAAGUUUUAUUUUAGCUUAAAAUAUUAAUUAAUUUUUUUUUUACAUGUAAGUUCAAGCUUUUUAUAUAAUUUAUUUAAAAAAUAAAUUAUUUGUAAUUAUUCGCAGUUUUUAAAUUUUUAAAUAUAAGAAAUUAAGAUAAAGGAAUAAAUUUUAGUAUUAACAAAAUUUGUGCCAGCAGUUGCGGUUAUACAAUUAAUACAAUUAAUAAUUAUUAGUGUGUAAUUAAUUGAUUUAAUUAAAAAUAAAUUAUUAAUUUAUUAAGUGAAAUUUUAAAUUAAUUUAAUUUUUUAAUAAAUUUUAUGAAGUUACUAAAUUUUAUAUUAAACUAGGAUUAGAUACCCUAUUAUUUUAAAUGUAAAUGUUUAAACUAUAUUAUUGUUAGUUAUGAUCUUUAAAAUUAAAAAUUUUGGCGGUAUUUUAGUCUUUUCAGAGGAACCUGUUCUAUAAUCGAUAUUCCACGAUUUUUUUUACUUUUUUUAUUAGUUUAUAUAUCAUCGUAGUUUGAAUAUUUUAUAAGAAUUAAAAUAUUCAAUAUUUAUAUUUAUAAAUAAAUUCAGAUCAAGGUAUAGCUUAUAAAAAAGAAGAAAUGGGUUACAAUAAUUUUAAUUAUACGAAUAAAUAAUUUUAAAAAUAUUUUAAAGGUGGAUUUGAAAGUAAUAUAAUUAAUUUAAGUUAUAUGAUUUUAGCUCUAAAAUAUGCACAUAUCGCCCGUCGCUUUCAUUUAAUAUGGAAUAAGUCGUAACAAAGUAGGUGUACUGGAAAGUGUACCUAGAAUUA
rnacentral:ncRNA from 1 species